rnacentral:rRNA from 1 species
UACGGGGGGAGCAAGCGUUGUUCGGAUUUACUGGGCGUAAAGGGUGCGUAGGCGGCCACCGCAAGUCGACUGUGAAAUCUCCGGGCUUAACCCGGAAAGGUCAGCCGAUACUGCGGGGCUAGAGUGCAGAAGGGGCAACUGGAAUUCUCGGUGUAGCGGUGAAAUGCGUAGAUAUCGAGAGGAACACCUGCGGCGAAGGCGGGUUGCUGGGCUGACACUGACGCUGAAGCGCGAAAGCUAGGGGAGCGAACGGG